AACGAACGCUGGCGGCAGGUCUAACACAUGCAAGUCGAACGCCCCGCCAGGGGAGUGGCAGACGGGUGAGUAACACGUGGGAACCUUCCCUAUAGUACGGAAUAGCCCAGGGAAACUUGGAGUAAUACCGUAUACGCCCGAAAGGGGAAAGAAUUUCGCUAUAGGAUGGGCCCGCGUAGGAUUAGCUAGUUGGUGAGGUAAUGGCUCACCAAGGCGACGAUCCUUAGCUGGUUUGAGAGAACGACCAGCCACACUGGGACUGAGACACGGCCCAGACUCCUACGGGAGGCAGCAGUGGGGAAUAUUGGACAAUGGGCGCAAGCCUGAUCCAGCCAUGCCGCGUGAGUGAUGAAGGCCUUAGGGUUGUAAAGCUCUUUUGGCGGGGACGAUAAUGACGGUACCCGCAGAAUAAGUCCCGGCUAACUUCGUG
rnacentral:rRNA from 1 species